AUCAAGCUACUCAAAUAAAGCAUUUGGUGGAUGCCUUGGCAUAAUGUGCCGAAGAAGGACGUAUAAGGCCACGAAAGUCGUCGGUGAGGAGCCACAAUCCUGUGACCCGGCGGUGUCCGAAUGGGGAAACCCCUGCAUAUGUAAAUAUGCGGAACCACUCGCCUCAUAGCGAGGAGGUAGGUAACCUGGAGAACUGAAACAUCUAAGUACCCAGAGGAAAAUAAAUCGAAUGAGAUUCCCUUAGUAAGCGGUGAGCGAAAAGGGAGAAGCCCAAACCAGUAUUUAUACUGGGGUUGUAGGGUCAGAUAUACGCUAGGAUGACAAUAGUAGAACACCGUGGAAUAGGUGACCAUAGAACGUGAUAGUCGUGUAUACGAAAUUUAAUUCUUAGUAAUUUGAUACCUGAGUAUAUUGGGAGACGGCAAACUCCCUGUAGAAUCCGCCCCGACCACGGGGCAAGGCUAAAUACACAUUAUGACCGAUAGUGAACAAGUACCGUGAGGGAAAGGUGAAAAGAAGGGUUUAACACCCAGUGAAAUAGUACCUGAAACCAAAUGCUAACAAACAGAUAGAGCUUCGGCAUUAGCCGGGGUGAUAUCGUGCCUAUUGAAGAAUGACCCGUCGAGUUUGUCUGUACCGCAAGUCUAAGUGAUAGUACGUCACGGAGGCGUAGUGAAAGCGAGGGUGAAUAGCCCGAAUUUAGCGGUAUGGUCAAGACCCGAAACUUGGUGAGCUAACCAUGAGCAGGUUGAAUGUACAGUAAAAUGUACAGGAGGACCGAACCAUUGACUGCUGCAAAAGUCUUGGAUGACUUGUGGUUAGGGGUAAUAUGCCAAUCGAACCAAGAGAUUGCUGGCUCUCCCCGAAAUAUAUUUAGGUAUAGCCUCGAGUGAAUCCAUAAGGGGGGUAGAGCACUGAAAAGGUGUAGGUUCGCAAGAGCUUCCACUUUAUCAAACUCCGAAUACCCAUAUGGUCUACUCGGGAGUCAGUACGCGGGAGCUAAGUUCCGCGGGCAAAAGGGGAACAUCCCAGAUCGUCAGCUAAGGUCUCAAAAUCAUAACUAAGUGGUUAAGGAAGUCAUUGUCCAUAAACAGCUAGGAGGUCGGCUCAGAAGCAGCCAUCCUUGAAAGAAAGCGUAACAGCUCACUAGUCGAUCGGAUAAUGGCGCCAAAGACGUAUCGAGGCUCAAGUUAUGUACCGAAGCUACGGAUUCAUGCGUGCUACACACGCUAGUUAUAAAGUUCCAAGUUCCAAGUUUCUAAAGAUAAUAACUUUAUGAACUUGAUAGACUUGAUAAACUUUUGACUAACAUGUGUAGCAUGUAUGUCUGGUAGGGGAGCGUUUUAACAACUGUGAAGUCGUCCUGUAAGGGGCGGUGGAGUGGUUAGAAGUGAGAAUGGCGGGAUGAGUAGCGAGAAAGGGGUGAGAAUCCCCUUCACCGAAUGUCCAAGGUUUCCCCGGCAACGUUCGUCGUCCGGGGGUUAGGCGACCCUAAGGUGAGGCUCAUGUAAUGUGGGCGUAGCCGAUGGAUUACCGGUUGAUAUUCCGGUUCUCUAAUGCGUUCGUUAUUUAGUUGGGGAGUGACGGUCUAGGAUAAGUAGGGCCUCUUAUUGAAUUGGGGUCUAAUCGUCAAAGCAGUUGGGUAUAGGCAAAUCCGUACCUGGCGUUUCAACCUGAGGCGUGAUGGAAAAUGGCGGUUUCGGCCGCUGUGAUUCUACCGACUUCUGGAUCCCAGAAAAUCUUCGCAACGAGAAUGUAUUAGAUCCGUACCGCAAACCGACACAGGUGGACUGGUAGAGUAUACCAAGGUGAGCGAGAGAACCUCUCUUAAGGAACUCGGCAAAUUAGCUAGGCGUAACUUCGGGAGAUGCCUAACCUGUAUUUUGGUACUUGUAUCAAGAUAUGGGUCGCAGAUAAAGAUUAUGGAGUGACUGUUUAACAAAAACACAGGUCUGUGCGAAGUCGUAAGACGACGUAUACGGGCUGAGGCCUGCCCAGUGCCGGAAGGUUAAUUGCGGGGAUGAUCCUAUUUAUUAGGUUAGUCUCCAAUCGAAGCCCCGGUGAACGGCAGCAGUAACUAUAACUGUUCUAUGGUAGCGAAAUUCCUUGUCGGGUAAAGAACUUGCCCGAAUUGCAGAGUAAUUUGCAAAAAGCAAACUGACUAAAAUCGGUGAAAGCUAACCCACAGCUAUGUGGUAUGCUAAUACCGAGGGAACUUCCGACUAACAAAGUCGAGAAGGCACCGUAACGACUAAUCCGAAAGGAGAGAUCCCACAUAUAUAAUGUGAGAUAAUACGUCAGCUCUUGUAGACAAAAGGAAACAAUGGAGUUUGCAUCAUAUAUUACUGGUUUUACCGAUGGAGAAGGGUCGUUUUCAAUCUCAUUUUCACGUCGUAACAAAUUGCGCACAGGGAUUGAAGUAAAGCCAAGUUUUUCGAUUUCGCAACACAAGCGAAGUCUCAAAGUUCUCCAGGAGAUAAAACAGUAUUUUGGUGUUGGUGCUAUCCGAUUUUCAGCAAGUGAUCAAAAUUACAAAUACGAAGUUAGAUCAAUCAAUGAUCUAGUUCAUAAAAUAAUUCCUCAUUUCAAGGCUUACCCCUUGAAAACCUCCAAAUCAAAAGAUUUUGAGAUCUUUAGUGAAAUAUGUCAGAUGAUUGUGACAAACAAACAUCGAAGCGUUCAAUAUCUCGCAGGGAUAAUUGACCAGGCAUAUCUCAUGAACGAAAGUGGGAAGCGCAAGUACACAAAGCAAGUUCUCCUAAAGUUUCUUACAAGAUGAAGAUAUAGUCUAACAGAUUGUGAAAACAAUUUUUUAAGGAAAUGAAGUUCCGACCUGCACGAAUGGCGUAACAAUUCCAUAACUGUCUUGAGAGGGGGCUCGGCGAAAUUGAAAUGGCUGUGAAGAUGCGGCCUACUGAUAGUAGGACAAAAAGACCCCGUGGAGCUUUACUGUAUCUUGACACUGAAAUUUAUGUUUUGACUGUGUAGCGUAGGUGGGAGCCGCAAGGCAACAAUGUAACACCACUCUUUGAAACGUGAAUUUCUUACCUGUUCUGACUGGAUCGUCAGAGGGGACACUGUCUGGAAGGCAGUUUAACUGGGGAGGUUGCUUGCUAAAGAGUACCGCAAGCGCGCAAUGGUAUCCUAAUUCCGAAUGGAAACCGGAAUGAUAGUGCAAGGGCAUAAGGAUGCCUGACUGUGAGACCUACAAGUCAAGCAGAGACGAAAGUCGGACCUAGUGAUCCUCGUGUACUUCGUGGGAGGUACCGGGCUUAUCGGAUAAAAGCUACCCCGGGGAUAACAGAGUAGUUGCACCUGAGCGUCCACAGCGACGGUGCAGUUCGCUACCUCGAUGUCGGCUCAGCACAUCCUAGGGCUGGAGAAGGUCCUAAGGGUUAGUCUGUUCGCCUAUUAAAGUGCUACGUGAGCUGGGUUCAGACCGUCGUGAGACAGGUCGGUCUCUAUCCUCUAUCAGCGUUGGAAUUUUGAGGGAAGUCGUUCUUAGUACGAGAGGACCGGAAUGAGGUAACCGCUAGUGUUCCUAUUGUACCCGUCAGGGGCAUUGUAGGGUAGCUACGUUACUAAGUGAUAACCGCUGAAAGCAUCUAAGCGGGAAGCACGUCCCAAGAUGAGAAUUCCUUGUUAAUCGCAAGAUUAACGAUAGAUUCCUGGAAGAACACCAGGCAAUCGGCGGAAGGUGUACGCACAGUAAUGUGUUUAGCUUAUCCGUUCG
rnacentral:rRNA from 1 species